GGGGGGGGGCAGGUGAGAAAGAAGUGGAGCGUGCACGACAGGCAUGGAGCUCUUCCAUGGAACUGAACGACGUCGAAAGAGGUUGAUAUUUGGAUCUCCAUCAUAGUAUAGGUGACCGGUUACAGCAACUCACGGCGGCUAGGGUUUUUAAGAUUCCGGUUGUUUAUGGUGAGUUACAGCAAUCAAAGCCAACCCCUGUUAGUGCUCCUCAUCUAGCAGGUUCUUUUUUUCAAUAUGGAUUUUCGUUUGGUUUGAUUUGUUUAGUUUAUAUAUUAUUUAAGAAGUUUUAGAGUUGUGGUUUAUGAAUUGAUUGGUAAACUAAGGAAUGGUGUUUGAUUCUACAAGGUUAACAGAAGGGUGAGGGAAACACCCAAAAAAACCCCUUGGGGUUAAAGUGUUGAAAAUUUAAUACAUGGCAGAUUAAUCAAGUCAAUGUUCAUGUUAAUUGUCUCAAGUGUCAAUCAAUUGAUGGAAACGUGAGUGAGCUAGAGAAGUAUGUGUAUGUAAGCUAAAAUAAUUACAACUAAUGUUUUUCAUCGAGUAUUAUGUGAUGUUAUGUAACCAAUGAACUGUGAAUGUGAAUAUGUUACCACGAAGGAGAUAGACGCCACAUGAGUGGCGGAGCUUGAGAUUUCCGACCGGUGGGUCGAAAACGUAUAUACCUAGAAAAAAUUAUAAAACCGGGGGUCGAAAACGUAUAUGCCUAAAAAAUUCUAUACGAAAACUACAUACCGGACACUAUUGAGCGAAAAGUUCGGGGGGUCGGGCGCCCAGGAGAACGAAUGUCGAAUGGUGGAUAAGCUUGGACAUGCUAAGAUAUUAAUCACGUGAGGUAUGUAAUGUUUAUUUUGUUAAACUUUGAUGAAUGUAAACUUGGAAGAGAACACACUUGAAGCGCGAUCAAAUGACCUGUUAAGGAGAUUUUGAUUUAGUUGCUAUGUGUUAAUAUCUUUUUAGUUAAUCUGCAGGUUGGACAUAUUUUCAAUGGGUUCCAUAUGGUUUUGAAAUUCUUGGUUGAUAUUAAAUGGGGUAUACUAAAUGGUUUGGUGCAUAAAAGAGGAAAACGGCAUGCAGUGGUGUAUUAUUCGAAAUACGCCAUGUUAUGCUAGGUGUCUAGGUGGUUUAGGAUUCAGGUUACUUUGACGGGGAACCAUUGAGUAUGGAAGAAGCAUGAUGGAUGUUAACAAAAUGAGCCAUGUUUUGAAUGCUAUCAAAAGGGGUAGGUGAUGAGAACUCUAAUCACAACUAUUGGGAGCCGACAGAAAACAUGAGUACACCAUGGACCGCUUAAACUGGAUGCUGAACACUCGAGUUUAGAAAGGAUAUAAAACAUCAUCUUUUUUAUGCCUUCGUAUAAUAAAUCUAAUCGUAAUCGAGUUACUUACCUUUCUAUGCUGAUUUUUAUUUGGUUGUUCAUUGUAUAGUAAAACAAUUCAGAAUCCAAGUACUUAAGUUUCUACGCCGUGUUCACGCCGCAACGCGGGGCGGGGCGGGUAAAAAAUCUAGUUAUUAUUUAUU
rnacentral:lncRNA from 1 species